rnacentral:rRNA from 1 species
ACCUACGGGGGGCAGCAGUAGGGAAUUUUCGUCAAUGGGCGCAAGCCUGAACGAGCAAUGCCGCGUGAACGAGGAAGGUCUUCGGAUCGUAAAGUUCUGUUGAAGGGGAAAAAGAGCGGAGAGAGGAAAUGGUCUCCGAUUGAUAUUACCCUUCGAGGAAGUCACGGCUAACUACGUGCCUGCAGCCGCGGUAAUACGUAGGUGGCGAGCGUUAUCCGGAAUGAUUGGGCGUAAAGGGUGCGUAGGCGGCCUGCUAAGUCUGGAGUGAAAGGUACCGGCUCAACCGGUACAGGCUCUGGAAACUG